AUUGAACGCUGGCGGCAGGCUUAACACAUGCAAGUCGAGCGGGGUGAUGGUGCUUGCACUAUCACUUAGCGGCGGACGGGUGAGUAAUGCUUAGGAAUCUGCCUAUUAGUGGGGGACAACAUCUCGAAAGGGAUGCUAAUACCACAUACGUCCUACGGGAGAAUGCAGGGGAUCACUUGUGACCUUGUGCUAAUAGAUGAGCCUAAGUCGGAUUAGCUAGUUGGUGGGGUAAAGGCCUACCAAGGCGACGAUCUGUAGCGGGUCUGAGAGGAUGAUCCGCCACACUGGGACUGAGACACGGCCCAGACUCCUACGGGAGGCAGCAGUGGGGAAUAUUGGACAAUGGGGGGAACCCUGAUCCAGCCAUGCCGCGUGUGUGAAGAAGGCCUUAUGGUUGUAAAGCACUUUAAGCGAGGAGGAGGCUCUUUUGGUUAAUACCCAAGAUGAGUGGACGUUACUCGCAGAAUAAGCACCGGCUGACUCUGUGCCAGCCGCCGCGGUAA
rnacentral:rRNA from 1 species